rnacentral:rRNA from 1 species
UACGGAGGGUGCAAGCGUUAAUCGGAAUUAUUGGGCGUAAAGGGCGCGUAGGCGGGUCUAUAAGUCUGAUGUGAAAUACCGUGGCUCAACCACGGUGCUGCAUUAGAAACUAUAGGUCUUGAGGGUAGGCGGAGAAAACGGAAUUCCAAGUGUAGCGGUGAAAUGCGUAGAUAUUUGGAAGAACACCUGUGGCGAAAGCGGUUUUCUAGCUUAUUCCUGACGCUGAGGCGCGAGAGCAAGGGGAGCAAACAGG